UCCCUGGUGGUCCAGUGGUUAAGACUCUGCACUACCACUGCAGGGGGUGCGGGUUCGAUCCCUGGUCAGGGAA